rnacentral:rRNA from 1 species
GACGAACGCUGUCGGCGUGCUUAACACAUGCAAGUCGAACGGAAAGGCCCUGCUUUUGUGGGGUGCUCGAGUGGCGAACGGGUGAGUAACACGUGAGUAACCUGCCCUUGACUUUGGGAUAACUUCAGGAAACUGGGGCUAAUACCGGAUAGGAGCUCCUGCUGCAUGGUGGGGGUUGGAAAGUUUCGGCGGUUGGGGAUGGACUCGCGGCUUAUCAGCUUGUUGGUGGGGUAGUGGCUUACCAAGGCUUUGACGGGUAGCCGGCCUGAGAGGGUGACCGGCCACAUUGGGACUGAGAUACGGCCCAGACUCCUACGGGAGGCAGCAGUGGGGAAUAUUGCACAAUGGGCGGAAGCCUGAUGCAGCAACGCCGCGUGCGGGAUGACGGCCUUCGGGUUGUAAACCGCUUUCGCCUGUGACGAAGCGUGAGUGACGGUAAUGGGUAAAGAAGCACCGGCUAACUACGUGCCAGCAGCCGCGGUGAUACGUAGGGUGCGAGCGUUGUCCGGAUUUAUUGGGCGUAAAGGGCUCGUAGGUGGUUGAUCGCGUCGGAAGUGUAAUCUUGGGGCUUAACCCUGAGCGUGCUUUCGAUACGGGUUGACUUGAGGAAGGUAGGGGAGAAUGGAAUUCCUGGUGGAGCGGUGGAAUGCGCAGAUAUCAGGAGGAACACCAGUGGCGAAGGCGGUUCUCUGGGCCUUUCCUGACGCUGAGGAGCGAAAGCGUGGGGAGCGAACAGGCUUAGAUACCCUGGUAGUCCACGCUGUAAACGGUGGGUACUAGGUGUGGGGUCCAUUCCACGGGUUCCGUGCCGUAGCUAACGCUUUAAAUACCCCGCCUGGGGAGUACGGCCGCAAGGCUAAAACUCAAAGGAAUUGACGGGGCCCCGCACAAGCGGCGGAGCAUGCGGAUUAAUUCGAUGCAACGCGUAGAACCUUACCUGGGUUUGACAUGGAUCGGGAGUGCUCAGAGAUGGGUGUGCCUCUUUUGGGGUCGGUUCACAGGUGGUGCAUGGCUGUCGUCAGCUCGUGUCGUGAGAUGUUGGGUUAAGUCCCGCAACGAGCGCAACCCUUGUUCACUGUUGCCAGCACGUUAUGGUGGGGACUCAGUGGAGACCGCCGGGGUCAACUCGGAGGAAGGUGGGGAUGACGUCAAGUCAUCAUGCCCCUUAUGUCCAGGGCUUCACGCAUGCUACAAUGGCUGGUACAGAGAGUGGCGAGCCUGUGAGGGUGAGCGAAUCUCGGAAAGCCGGUCUCAGUUCGGAUUGGGGUCUGCAACUCGACCUCAUGAAGUCGGAGUCGCUAGUAAUCGCAGAUCAGCAACGCUGCGGUGAAUACGUUCCCGGG